rnacentral:rRNA from 1 species
AUUGAACGCUGGCGGCAUGCUUUACACAUGCAAGUCGAACGGCAGCACGAAAGAGCUUGCUCUUUUGGUGGCGAGUGGCGAACGGGUGAGUAAUGCAUCGGAACGUACCGGGUAAUGGGGGAUAACUGUCCGAAAGGAUAGCUAAUACCGCAUACGCUUUGAGAAGGAAAGUGGGGGCUCUUCGGACCUCACGUUAUUCGAGCGGCCGAUGUCUGAUUAGCUAGUUGGUGGGGUAAAGGCCUACCAAGGCGACGAUCAGUAGCGGGUCUGAGAGGAUGAUCCGCCACACUGGGACUGAGACACGGCCCAGACUCCUACGGGAGGCAGCAGUGGGGAAUUUUGGACAAUGGGCGCAAGCCUGAUCCAGCCAUGCCGCGUGUCUGAAGAAGGCCUUCGGGUUGUAAAGGACUUUUGUUAGGGAAGAAAAGGAUAGUGUUAAUACCAUUAUCUGCUGACGGUACCUAAAGAAUAAGCACCGGCUAACUACGUG